UUCCAGCUCCAAUAAGGAAAACUAAAGUUGCUGUGUUUAAAAAGCUCGUAGUUGAAUUUCGGGUAUUUGUUGCUAGCUGGUCUAACUGGCCAUGUUGGUUAACAGAUCCUCAUUUGCUGGACGGCUGGCGAUGAUCUUUAUCGGUUGUCGUCAGUUGCCAGAACGUUUACUUUGAGAAAAUUAGAGUGCUUAAAGCAGGCUUUCGCCUAUAUAUAUUGCAUGGAAUAAUGAAAUAAGAUCUCGAUUUUAUUUCGUUGGUUUUAGAAAUUGAGAUAAUGAUUAAUAGGAUCAGAGGGGGGCGUACGUACUGUGGUGUGAGAGGUGAAAUUCUUGGAUCGCCACAGGACGAACAGCAGCGAAGGCGUUCGCCAAGAAUGUUUUCAUUAAUCAAGAACGAAAGUUUGAGGUUCGAAGACGAUUAGAUACCGUCCUAGUUCAAACCAUAAACGAUGCCAACUGUCUUUUAGAUGCGGUUAUUUAUAUGACUCAUCUGGCGGAUCUCGAGAAAUCUAAGUUUUUAGGUUCCGGGGGAAGUAUGGUUGCAAAGCUGAAACUUAAAAGAAUUGACGGAAGGACACACAAGAAGUGGAGCCUGUGGCCUAAUUUGACUCAACACGGGAAACCUUACUCGGCCAGGACACUUUUAGGAUUGACAGAUUGAGAGCUCUUUCUUGAUUAGGUGGGUGGUGGUGCAUGGUCGUUCGUAGUUCGUGGAGCGAUUUGUCUGAUUAAUUUCGAUAACGAACGAGACUCCGGCUUACUAAAUAGUCUAAAGUUCGCAGGGACUUCUCAAGACUUCUUAGCAGGAUAAGUGGCACUUUUUAAGCCACACGAAAUGGAGCAAUAA
rnacentral:rRNA from 1 species